AAAAACUCCGGUGGUAUGGGAUGGACCCGCGUCUGAUUAGCCAGUUGGCAGGGUAACGGCCUACCAAAGCGACGAUCAGUAGCCGGCCUGAGAGGGUGGACGGCCACAUUGGGACUGAGACACGGCCCAAACUCCUACGGGAGGCAGCAGUGGGGAAUAUUGCACAAUGGGGGAAACCCUGAUGCAGCGACGCCGCGUGAGUGAAGAAGUAUUUCGGUAUGUAAAGCUCUAUCAGCAGGAACGAGACAAGACGGUACCUGACUAAGAAGCCCCGGCUAACUACGUGCCAGCAGCCGCGGUAAUACGUAGGGGGCAAGCGUUAUCCGGAAUCACUGGGUGUAAAGGGAGCGUAGACGGCUGUGCAAGCCUGAAGUGAAAGGCGGGGGCCCAACCCCCGGACUGCUUUGGGAACUGUACGGCUGGAGUGCAGGAGAGGUAAGUGGAAUUCCUAGUGUAGCGGUGAAAUGCGUAGAUAUUAGGAGGAACACCAGUGGCGAAGGCGGCUUACUGGACUGUAACUGACGUUGAGGCUCGAAAGCGUGGGGAGCAAACAGGAUUAGAUACCCUGGUAGUCCACGCCGUAAACGAUGAUUACUAGGUGUCGGGGGGCAGAGGCCCUUCG
rnacentral:rRNA from 1 species